rnacentral:rRNA from 1 species
CCUACGGGUGGCAGCAGUGAGGAAUAUUGGUCAAUGGACGAAAGUCUGAACCAGCCAUGCCGCGUGCAGGAAGACGGCUCUAUGAGUUGUAAACUGCUUUUGUACAAGGGUAAACCUGAAUACGUGUAUUCAGCUGAAAGUACUGUACGAAUAAGGAUCGGCUAACUCCGUGCCAGCAGCCGCGGUAAUACGGAGGAUCCAAGCGUUAUCCGGAUUUAUUGGGUUUAAAGGGUGCGUAGGCGGAUUGUUAAGUUAGAGGUGAAAUGUUCGGGCUCAACUUGGAAACUGCCUUUAAUACUGGUGGUCUAGAGAGUAGAUGCGGUAGGCGGAAUGUGUGGUGUAGCGGUGAAAUGCUUAGAGAUCAUACAGAACACCGAUUGCGAAGGCAGCUUACCAAUCUAUAUCUGACAUUGAGGCACGAAAGCGUGGGGAGCAAACAGGAUUAGAUACCCGAGUAGUC